rnacentral:precursor_RNA from 1 species
GUCUGGUGAAAUCUCGGCUCGUAUACAUAAAGCUCGACUGGCUUUCGCCAUUUUAGCAUUUGUGGUGUAGUCGAGACAUUCGUUUACUGAAGAA